rnacentral:rRNA from 1 species
CCUACGGGGUGCAGCAGUGGGGAAUAUUGGACAAUGGGCGAAAGCCUGAUCCAGCCAUGCCGCGUGUGUGAAGAAGGCCUUCGGGUUGUAAAGCACUUUCAGUGGGGAAGAAAGCCUUGGGGCUAAUACCCUCGAGGAAGGACAUCACCCACAGAAGAAGCACCGGCUAACUCCGUGCCAGCAGCCGCGGUAAUACGGAGGGUGCGAGCGUUAAUCGGAAUUACUGGGCGUAAAGCGCGCGUAGGCGGUCUGAUAAGCCGGUUGUGAAAGCCCCGGGCUCAACCUGGGAACGGCAUCCGGAACUGUCAGGCUAGAGUGCAGGAGAGGAAGGUAGAAUUCCCGGUGUAGCGGUGAAAUGCGUAGAGAUCGGGAGGAAUACCAGUGGCGAAGGCGGCCUUCUGGACUGACACUGACGCUGAGGUGCGAAAGCGUGGGUAGCAAACAGGAUUAGAUACCCGGGUAGUC